UUAGUGCUACCUAGUGCAGAGUCUUGCAGUAUGUAGGUGAUAUGGAUAUUUCAUUUUAUGAAAGAGGUUCAUGGUGAUACAGGACAACUUCGAGGUUCAUGCAGAUGGUGUUUAAAACUAUCAGUCAGUAAAAAGAAACUCAUUUGAACACAUCUUGAGUCUUCACAUGUAAAAUGAUGGCAGUACUUAUAAUAUAGGUUAAUGCAGACAGACGCAUUUUGCUGGAAAACGAAUCUGACAUGCCACCUCGAGAUUUUAACCAAGGAAAGACAACUUGAUGUGCUUUGAUUUGAGGGGUCACUCAAUGCUGAACGAAAAUUAGGGACAUGCUAUAUGUGAAGAAACAUUAACAUUGCCGCCUAUGGGAAAACAAUUAGUGGGCUGUACCCACCUACACCUUGGAGUUUGAGUAACUUUGGGAAAAAACACUAGCCUUGGCCUUAUCUUUUUAACGGUUAGUGCUAGGGCUUUUUUACUUCACGUGAAUUCAUUGUGACAAGACCUUUCCUUGGGUACCAAUAUUUUAUUUACCUUUUAACCUUGAUCUUGGAAGUAGACCUACUUUUUAAAAGCUUUAAUCAUGGUCAUAACUUUAAAAAUGUUAGUGCUAGAGCUAUCAUAUUUCAUUUGUGUAUUCUUUGUGACGAUACCUUUCAUUGAAUUCCAAUAUUUAUGACCAUUUGACCUUGAGUAUGACCUACUUUUGAAAAACUUUUAACCUUAGUCAUAACCUUGGAACAGUUGGCACUAUAGUUUUCAUAUUCUACUUCCGUAUUACUUGCAACAAGACCUUCCUCUGGAUAAUAACAUUUUUGACUCUAACCUUGGAGUUUGUCCUAUUUCUGAAGAAGAGACCCAAGGGCCUUGACGGUCACCUGAAUAUAAUACAACAAUUUAGAGGAUCCAUAGAGUAUAAAAUAAACUGACAGAUAAAGCUUUGUUACCCAAAAGAAGAGAAAUAGGAUGAUCAGGAUCAACAAAUUAAUUAGUCUAGCAUUUAGUAACAACUCACAAAUUAAGUUUUUUAAUCUGUCCCCCAUUUAUCACUAUCACAAUGCAGACUAUAACAAACUAUAAGUGCUUCUUUACUAUUUAAACCCGAUGUUAAAACCUCUCGCAUUGGCCUUCCUUGAUUUUUGAAGAACAUUCAAUAAGUUAUUUUUGUCUUAUUUUUAUUUAUCUAUUAUUUACAAG